AUUAGCAUAACCUGCCUGGCAACCUGAUCUCGGCGCUAUAUGAUUGGUUGGACUCUGUAAACUCCAUGCCCUGCCUAGAGACAAGUAACUCUGGGGCGAACUGACAGGCCCAGAUUUAAGACUCAUGACGAAGAUCCUGAGACGCUUAUUCAGUCGGCGGAGAAGCCAAAAGGAGAUUCACACAAUGGCCCAAUGACUGAAGGCCUCUUUAUUUCGUGCUCUGCUGUUCGUUGAAAAUCCAAUCAAAGAGCGGGUCUCAGGCAGCAGGACCUGCGUUUGUGCUCUAAGCCAAUCAGAGAAGCCGACUCUUCGGAUUCAGGGUCAAGACCGCUGGGCUGGACCGGCGGCGGCCCAGUUCUCGAGGCCAGAAGUUCAAAGACGAGAUACUGGCAAGAUCAUGUUCCCUCUGAAGGCUCUGGGGAGGAGUCCUUCCUUGCCUUGUGCUAGCUCCUGCUGGUGGUCGGCAACCCUUGGCAUUCGUUGGCCUGUAGAGUCAUCACUCCAAUUUCUGCCUCAGCCAUCACGUGACUGUCUUCCCUCUGUGUGUACGUGUCUCCAAAUCUCCUUCUCCUAAGAGGACAACGAUUGCUGCAUUUAGGGCGCACCUUAACUUGAUUACAUCGGCAGGGACUCUAUUCCCCCCCAAAAUUAAUAUUCAUGGAACUGAAGGUUAGGACGUAACACAUCUUUUGGAGGGGCACAAUUCAGCCCACUAUAGUGUACAACUUACGAUCAUCGACUAAGACAUUCCUAUUAAAAGGAGAUAACAACAAUGCCACAUUUAUUACAGCUAUUUAACACCACCCCAAAAGUUCAAACCAAUGCAAGGAAAUAUAAAACUAAAAUAAGACAUAAUUAUUAGAAUGGGUUGGGCCGGGAUCAGCAUUGUGUGCAGAAAUCCAGAGAAUAUGUGUUGCUGUACAACUAAGUCUGUAAGAGAGUUUGAAAUGGUGACCACACACAGAAUAAUUGAAUACAAAUCAACAGUUUUCCUUAAUAGUAACUAAGAUCAUAGGAAGCACCAUAGAAAAAUACGCAGGUGUGGGGAGCCUGCUACACAUUUAGCUUUGUCCUUGAAGAAGUGAGAUGACUCAGAAGGAUGAACCAGAAACAAAAAAACAAACAAAAAAAUUUUUUAAAAGUGAGAUGACUCAGUAAUUAAGAAGGAUUUUCUGGAUCUCAGGGACCGAGGUUUCUGCUCCAGGCACACCUGACCUGCUUUAUCACGUUGCCUGUGGUCUGCUCACUUGCCAAGAUGACUUUGGAUCCUGUCUGGCCUCCUCACUGACAGCAGGAAACGCAGCGGGGCCAUCUAUGACUCUCCUUUGUCCCAUCUCUUCUGUUCCAAGGUGCUGGGUAGGUAGCAGCCCAGAAGCCCCCUGGAUGCUUUCACUUGUCACUAACCCGCUGGAGUAGCUGGAUUCCUGGCUGUUCGUGAGAGAAGGUCAUUUUCUAGGCAGAAGCCAAGAGCAGUGUUAAACGUAGCCGUUUUAAACACAUCGUGGCCUUCUGCCAACUUUUUCCUCCUGUUUAUGAUUUGGCUUCACCUCCAGCUGAACAAUCAUGGGCGAAAAUCACAGAAGGACAUGGCACUGGGUAGAGGAGACAGACAUCUGCGGAUUUUGAUGGGGAAAAGAAUUGAGGAGGAAAAGGGGGGAAAAACACAAAAAACAAAACAAAUAAUGACGGUAACAAAAAUUUCACUAGCAUAAGCCAAGGAGAUGUGAAUGACCAAAAAGAUAGCUCCCAGAAAACAUGAAAGAACACACUGAGAAUUUUCACAAAGAAACCUUCAGAGCACCCUUUUAAGUUUACUUCAAGCUCAAUUUUUAAAAAUAAAUGCAGGGCAAUUUCUA